GGCGCAUUAGCUCAGUCGGUUAGAGCGACGGAAUCAUAAUCCGCAGGUCCCCUGUUCAAAUCAGGGAUGCGCCA
rfam:Strigomonas culicis Cont3156, whole genome shotgun sequence.